rnacentral:misc_RNA from 1 species
GAUGAAGAACGUAGCGAAAUGCGAUAAGUAAUGUGAAUUGCAGAAUUCAGUGAAUCAUCGAAUCUUUGAACGCACAUAGCGCCCGCCAGUAUUCUGGCGGGCAUGCCUGUUCGAGCGUCAUUACAACCCUCAGGCCCCCGGGCCUGGCGUUGGGGAUCGGCGGAAGCCCCCUGUGGGCACACGCCGUCCCUCAAAUACAGUGGCGGUCCCGCCGCAGCUUCCAUUGCGUAGUAGCUAACACCUCGCAACUGGAGAGCGGCGCGGCCAUGCCGUAAAACACCCAACUUCUGAAUGUUGACCUCGAAUCAGGUAGGAAUACCCGCUGAACUUAAGCAUAUCAAUAAGCGGAGGA